CAGUUGGAAGCACUGGAUAUAUUACAAGGCUUUGACUGGAAUGCCAUAUUUUCAGAUAUGACCAGACAGCUUUAAGGAACUAAGGUUGACUUUAUGGAGCCAAUAAGCCACCCCCAUCUUAAUAAAACUGGCUUGAGGGUUCCAGCCUUACAGACGAAUAAGGAAUAUCCCUUCUUGGCAGGCACAGAAGCCUCAGGAUAUUCAGGGACCUCAAGAAGAGAGGAAUUCACUCAAAUCUAAACGUAACAGAUGAAGCAUGAUAAACGAAACUAUCCUCAUUAAAGGCCUGAUGGCUCACACCAUCCAGGAGAUCUCCUCUGCUACCAACUCCCAGCAGCUGAUUCAGCGGUCCUUCAUGAACAAUAGGCAACUGAACAAGAAAAUGAGUUUAUAUUGUUCAAAAGAAAUAAGAAUGCCUCUUUUUUCCCUUGAACAAGGGAGGUGGGGACUAACAAAAGAUUCUUUGCUUGACCAAACUUUAGUCAGGCUUCUAAAUCUUCCCCUCAGCCCGUCUGUGCACUUCCUUGUGAAAUCCAGUUUUAGCAAAGAAC
rnacentral:lncRNA from 1 species